AUGAUUGUUUGUAAGCUUCUUAGAAAACAUGUAUCAUCAGCAACCAUCUAUCUAUCAUCAAUUCGUACUUAUUUUCAUAUGUUUUCUUUUGUGUCUACAUAUUUUGAUGCUCACUCUUUCAAUAGUUGGCUUGCUCUCGGCCUUUGCGCCAUGGGCGCAACGAGUCAUCUAGUAGUAGUAGAGCUAGAGAUAGGGGUGUUCGCUGGCGGUCAUGGACCGGCCCAGUCAGAGGCCGCCUGUGCGAUAAGAGCGGCACAUAGGAGGUCCCCGUCUAAACCUCAACUUUGUUCGACAUUGUUUAAAGAACGCUGUGAAGUUUAG
rnacentral:rRNA from 1 species